rnacentral:rRNA from 1 species
CGGAGGGUGCGAGCGUUGUCCGGAAUCAUUGGGCGUAAAGCGCGCGCAGGCGGUUCCUUAAGUCUGAUGUGAAAGCCCCCGGCUCAACCGGGGAAGGUCAUUGGAAACUGGGGAACUUGAGUGCAGAAGAGAAGAGCGGAAUUCCACGUGUAGCGGUGAAAUGCGUAGAGAUGUGGAGGAACACCAGUGGCGAAGGCGGCUCUUUGGUCUGUAACUGACGCUGAGGCGCGAAAGCGUGGGGAGCAAACAGGAUUAGAUACCCUGGUAGUCCACGCCGUAAACGAUGAGUGCUAAGUGUUAGAGGGUUUCCGCCCUUUAGUGCUGCAGCUAACGCAUUAGGCACUCCGCCUGGGGAGUACGGCCGCAAGGCUG